AGCUCCAAAGUUCAGGCUGUGAUCUAACGUACUGCAUUAUGGGGCUAAAAUGUUUUCCUGAGUCAUUGCUCAUAUCAAAAAAUAAAAAAAUCAAACCGCACACAGAAACCUGAGCAAGGUUCAGAGAUGUAUACUACAAACCUGCACGUUCUCCCCAGCAACAACUUAGAAGCAGCCACCACUCUAUACCUCAGAUUCUCUGCCUCUGCCUAUUGAAGUGCUACAGUGACUCGGGACCACCUGCAGCUGAGGACUAGCUGUACCCGGACCGUGCAACCACAACUCUACCUGCAUGCCAGGCCGCCUCAAAACUGCCCUAUCUCCCCGGACAGCCUCUGAAUCACAUAUGGGGCCUGAGCUUACUGCUUCACAUUCAUU